rnacentral:rRNA from 1 species
GACGAACGCUGGCGGCGUGCCUAACACAUGCAAGUCGAACGGAGUGAUGAUUUCGGUUAUCACUUAGUGGCGAACGGGUGAGUAACGCGUGAGAAACCUGCCUUUCAGUGGGGGACAACAGUUGGAAACGACUGCUAAUACCGCAUAAUGUCAUUUGGGGGCAUCCCUGGAUGACCAAAGAUUUAUUGCUGAAAGAUGGUCUCGCGUCUGAUUAGCUGGUUGGUGAGGUAACGGCCCACCAAGGCGACGAUCAGUAGCCGACCUGAGAGGGUGAUCGGCCACAUUGGAACUGAGAAACGGUCCAA